AGAGUUUGAUCCUGGCUCAGAUUGAACGCUGGCGGCAUGCCUAACACAUGCAAGUCGAACGGAAACGAUGGGAGCUUGCUCCCAGGCGUCGAGUGGCGGACGGGUGAGUAAUACUUAGGAAUCUGCCCAGUAGUGGGGGACAACUCGAGGAAACUCGAGCUAAUACCGCAUACGCCCCAAGGGGGAAAGCGGAGGAUCUUUCGGGACUUCGCGCUAUUGGAUGAGCCUAAGUCGGAUUAGCUUGUUGGUGAGGUAAAAGCUCACCAAGGCGACGAUCCGUAGCUGGUCUGAGAGGACGAUCAGCCACACUGGGACUGAGACACGGCCCAGACUCCUACGGGAGGCAGCAGUGGGGAAUAUUGGACAAUGGGGGAAACCCUGAUCCAGCAAUGCCGCGUGUGUGAAGAAGGCCUGCGGGUUGUAAAGCACUUUCAGUAGAGAAGAAAAGCCUGGGGUUAAUACCCCUGGGUCUUGACGUUACCUACAGAAGAAGCUCCGGCUAACUCCGUGCCAGCAGCCGCGGUAAUACGGAGGGAGCGAGCGUUAAUCGGAAUUACUGGGCGUAAAGCGCGCGUAGGCGGCUUUGUAAGUCGGAUGUGAAAGCCCUGGGCUCAACCUGGGGAUGGCAUUCGAUACUGCAUAACUAGAGUAUGGUAGAGGGAAGUGGAAUUUUCGGGUGUACGGUGAAAUGCGUAGAUA
rnacentral:rRNA from 1 species